AACGAACGCUGGCGGCAGGCUUAACACAUGCAAGUCGAGCGCCCCGCAAGGGGAGCGGCAGACGGGUGAGUAACGCGUGGGAACAUACCCUUUCCUGCGGAAUAGCUCCGGGAAACUGGAAUUAAUACCGCAUACGCCCUACGGGGGAAAGAUUUAUCGGGGAAGGAUUGGCCCGCGUUGGAUUAGCUAGUUGGUGGGGUAAAGGCCUACCGAGGCGACGAUCCAUAGCUGGUCUGAGAGGAUGAUCAGCCACACUGGGACUGAGACACGGCCCAGACUCCUACGGGAGGCAGCAGUGGGGAAUAUUGGACAAUGGGGGGCAACCCUGAUCCAGCCAUGCCGCGUGAGUGAUGAAGGCCUUAGGGUUGUAAAGCUCUUUCGCCCGCGAAGAUAAUGACGGUAGCGGGAGAAGAAGCCCCGGCUAACUUCGUGCCAGCCGCCGCGGUAA
rnacentral:rRNA from 1 species